GACGAACGCUGGCGGCGUGCUUAACACAUGCAAGUCGAACGGAGUGCGGAACGGGGGGGUAACACGGGGGUGACCUGCCCUGCACUUCGGGAUAAGCCUGGGAAACUGGGUCUAUUACCGGAAGGUGUGGGAUGGGCCCGCGGCCUAUCAGCUUGUUGGUGGGGUAAUGUCCUCCCAGGGCGGCGACGGGUCGCCGGCCUGAGAGGGUGGACGGCCACAUUGGGACUGAGACACUGCCCAGACUCCUACGUGAGGCAGCAGUGGGGAAUAUUGCACAAGGGGCGGAAGCCUGAUGCAGCGACGCCGCGUGGGGGAUGACGGCCUUCGGGUUGUAAACUCCUUUCACCAUCGACGCGGUAGAUGGAGAAGAAGCACCGGCUAACUACGUGCCAGCAGCCGCGGUAAUAC
rnacentral:rRNA from 1 species